rnacentral:rRNA from 1 species
GGCUCAGGAUGAACGCUGGCGGCGUGCUUAACACAUGCAAGUCGAACGGGAUCCCUGGCAGCUUGCUGCCGGGGUGAGAGUGGCGAACGGGUGAGUAAUGCGUGACCGACCUGCCCCAUGCACCGGAAUAGCUCCUGGAAACGGGUGGUAAUGCCGGAUGUUCCACAUGAGCGCAUGCGAGUGUGGGAAAGGCUUUUUGCGGCAUGGGAUGGGGUCGCGUCCUAUCAGCUUGUUGGUGGGGUAACGGCCUACCAAGGCGUUGACGGGUAGCCGGCCUGAGAGGGCGACCGGCCACAUUGGGACUGAGAUACGGCCCAGACUCCUACGGGAGGCAGCAGUGGGGAAUAUUGCACAAUGGGCGCAAGCCUGAUGCAGCGACGCCGCGUGCGGGAUGGAGGCCUUCGGGUUGUAAACCGCUUUUGUUCAAGGGCAAGGCACGGUCUUUGGCCGUGUUGAGUGGAUUGUUCGAAUAAGCACCGGCUAACUACGUGCCAGCAGCCGCGGUAAUACGUAGGGUGCAAGCGUUAUCCGGAUUUAUUGGGCGUAAAGGGCUCGUAGGCGGUUCGUCGCGUCCGGUGUGAAAGUCCAUCGCUUAACGGUGGAUCCGCGCCGGGUACGGGCGGGCUUGAGUGCGGUAGGGGAGACUGGAAUUCCCGGUGUAACGGUGGAAUGUGUAGAUAUCGGGAAGAACACCAAUGGCGAAGGCAGGUCUCUGGGCCGUUACUGACGCUGAGGAGCGAAAGCGUGGGGAGCGAACAGGAUUAGAUACCCUGGUAGUCCACGCCGUAAACGGUGGAUGCUGGAUGUGGGGCCCUUUUUCC